UCGAACGGUAACGCGGGGCAACCUGGCGACGAGUGGCGAACGGGUGAGUAAUAUAUCGGAACAUACCCUAGAGUGGGGGAUAACGUAGCGAAAGUUACGCUAAUACCGCAUACGAACUAAGGUUGAAAGUGGGGGAUCUUCGGACCUCAUGCUCAUGGAGUGGCCGAUAUCUGAUUAGCUAGUUGGUGAGGUAAAGGCUCACCAAGGCGACGAUCAGUAGCUGGUUUGAGAGAACGACCAGCCACACUGGAACUGAGACACGGUCCAGACUCCUACGGGAGGCAGCAGUGGGGAAUUUUGGACAAUGGGCGCAAGCCUGAUCCAGCAAUGCCGCGUGAGUGAAGAAGGCCUUCGGGUUGUAAAGCUCUUUUGUCAGGGAAGAAACGGUGAGUCCUAAUACGGCUUGCUAAUGACGGUACCUGAAGAAUAAGCACCGGCUAACUCUGUGCCAGCAGCCGCGGUAAUACAGAGGGUGCAAGCGUUAAUCGGAAUUACUGGGCGUAAAGCGCACGUAGGCGGUUGUUUAAGUUGGAUGUGAAAGCCCCGGGCUCAACCUGGGAAUUGCAUUCAAAACUGGACAACUAGAGUGUGUGAGAGGGGGGUAGAAUUCCAAGUGUAGCGGUGAAAUGCGUAGAGAUUUGGAGGAAUACCAGUGGCGAAGGCGGCCCCCUGGCACAACACUGACGCUCAGGUGCGAAAGCGUGGGGAGCAAACAGGAUUAGAUACCCUGGUAGUCCACGCCGUAAACGAUGUCUACUAGCUGUUCGUGACCUUGUGUCGUGAGUAGCGCAGCUAACGCAUUAAGUAGACCGCCUGGGGAGUACGGUCGCAAGAUUAAAACUCAAAUGAAUUGACGGGGGCCCGCACAAGCGGUGGA
rnacentral:rRNA from 1 species